GGAGCGAAGAAGCUUACACACUGUUUCCCCUCAAAGGAUAGAAUUGGCUCAUCUGGAGAUACCGCCUUAACUUGUUUUAUGUGUAAACGGAGGCAAUAACGCAUUACCACGAUUCGGUUCUCAGAACACGAUUAAUAUUUCCUCGCCUCAAAUUUUUUAAAAGGUUAUUGACAUGCAGGCUUUCCCUAAAUGUGGAUGGAUGGCAGUUUAAAAAGGAGAGUGGAAGGAUUGAUUCCAUGAGUAACUUAUCUUCUAUUCUUGAGGAUGAGAAUUCAGUUUACAGAACCUGCAAACUGGACUCAUUGGCAGCACUUGAAGAAUUUACAAGUUUGUACAAUGGAAUUUAUUGGCAGCAUUUUACUGCUUUGUGUGACCUACAAGCAAACCAAAUAUAUAUCUACAUUUUUAGAUCAA